UUGAACGCUGGCGGCAGGCCUAACCCAUGCAAGUCGAACGGUAACAGGAAACAGCUUGCUGUUUCGCUGACGAGUGGCGGACGGGUGAGUAAUGUCUGGGAAACUGCCUGAUGGAGGGGGAUAACUACUGGAAACGGUAGCUAAUACCGCAUAACGUCGCAAGACCAAAGAGGGGGACCUUCGGGCCUCUUGCCAUCGGAUGUGCCCAGAUGGGAUUAGCUAGUAGGUGGGGUAACGGCUCACCUAGGCGACGAUCCCUAGCUGGUCUGAGAGGAUGACCAGCCACACUGGAACUGAGACACGGUCCAGACUCCUACGGGAGGCAGCAGUGGGGAAUAUUGCACAAUGGGCGCAAGCCUGAUGCAGCCAUGCCGCGUGUAUGAAGAAGGCCUUCGGGUUGUAAAGUACUUUCAGCGGGGAUGAAGGGAGUAAAGUUAAUACCUUUGCUCAUUGACGUUACCCGCAGAAGAAGCACCGGCUAACUCCGUG
rnacentral:rRNA from 1 species